GGUUUCAUGGCGCAGUUGGUUAGCGCGUCUCCUUAACAGUUUCCAUCUGCUCUCGGAGGAGGUCGCCGGUUCGAACCCGGCUGAAAUCA
rnacentral:tRNA from 1 species